rnacentral:lncRNA from 1 species
AAGAUAGGUGAAGUUGAGCCAAACAAAUGAACAUGCAUGUGCCUUAGAUGCUAAAGGGAGAAGUCGGCUAACAUGUUGUGCUUUAAAAUGAUGAAAUGGAGAUUAUACUUAAGUAAAAUCAUAGAUAUGUGAUGAUUGAUUGGUGAUAUACAUGUUUAAAUAACAUGCAUGCAAGUUAUGUAUGAAAGAGUGAAUUUGGUAAUAAAUCUGCUUGGGACAGCAGCAGUAACGUGACUUUGGAAAAUCACCAUAAAUUGUGAGAGAUGAGUUAGAAGGUGAAUAAAUUAAGUAAUUAAAGCUUAAUGAGUAUAAUUUCAAAUGAAAUAAACGAGAACAUAUUUUGAAUUCUGUACAAUGAGAAAUUUGAUUCGUAAUGAAGAGUGGUCAGAUUAGUCAAAUAGUGAAACAUGGGAAACUUUAAGAAAAAUCUGGUAUUGAUUGGCCAUACCAAAAAUUCUGAAAAUUUUAUGGAUAUAAGAUAUAUGAGUCUAUUUUCAGAGAAAAUUAACGGCACUUGAUUUGGAGUUUCAUAGCUCCAGUUAUAAAUGAUUUAGUGACUGUUGCUCAGGAAGACAACUUGCAGUGAAAUUAUGAUUAUGUGGUAAACACUGACAAAAAUUUGUUAAUGAGUUGCUUAUUGAUUUCUUAUAAGCUUACUCUGAUCUGUAGGUGUGGUUGGCCGAAUAUUGUAAGGGGUUAAUAUGUAGUUUGUGUUUGAAUAGUUAGAUUAACGUGUUAGUAAUCCAAUUGUAGGCGGUUCGUGUGUGGAUCUCGUCAGCAUAUCGUCGCAAACAGGUGUGUAACUGACACCCUCUCAUAGACUAGAUUGGCAAAAGCCGAAAAGCUGAAAUGCCGAAAAGUCGGUAUUUUGGGAAUUUGUGAGUGUGCGAAUGCUCGUAAGAUAGUUGGGUUUGUAUAUUUGGUAAUCUAAAGUAAUAAACUGCAGUACGAGCGGUUUCGUACAUUUUGAUAAUUUGGGCUUAAUGGGCCAAAGAUCGGGUUCAUGGGCCAACGGGCCCAAUUCGGUAAGUAUGCGCGGUAAGUGUUCUGAUAGUACGUAAAUAGUUAGGAUAUGCAUGAAAACCCUAAAAGUAGCUAAAUUACUAUAAUACCCCUAUGUAUGGAAAAUUAUUGUUAUACCCCUAGGUGCAAAAUUACCGUUAUACCCUUAGGGUUAAUUUUGACUGAAAAGCAUGACGAUCUGAUUCUGUAUGAUGUAUGCCAUGAUUAUAUAUCUGUUGCAUGGGGACAUGGGUUAUAUUAUGGAGGAAGCGUCCUAGUGGCUAUGCCACAAUUAUCUGAUCUGGUGGCUCUGCCAUAUAUAUCUGUUUUAGUGGCUAUGCCACGAUUAUUUGAUCUGGUGGCUCUGCCACAUAUACUUGUUCUGGUGGCUCUGCCACAAUAUCUGUAUCUGGUGACUUCGUCACAAUAUCUGGCAGCCUCGCUGCGAUUUCUGUGGUGUGUAGCGGUUGGGUGGGUCGAGUAGUCUCCCCACAUGGUGUAAGGCUGGUACGGGGGUGUUAUGGAUGAAUCUGGGUUGGAUUUCUGCAUAAACAUGUAAUAUCUAUUCUGUUCUGUUAUGGGCCUAUGGGCUUUAUUCUGAAUUUUGUUCUGGGUUAAGGCCAACUUAUUCUAUUUCUGUGGUUUGAGUUGAUAUAGGCUAUGGUUGGGUUAUUUUACACACUGAGUUUCCCCAAACUCACCCCUUUUAUUUUCAUCCACGCAGGUAAUCCCCAACCAUAGUGGGCUUGGAGCUGUGAGGGAAUUCGGAGUGGCCACCCGUUCUAAAAGUUUGAUUUUCUUCUAGUGAACUAGACAUCCUUUUAUUUACGUUUGAAGUUUUGGAUUUUUAAAUGUAAUAAGGCC